rnacentral:rRNA from 1 species
UACGUAGGUGGCAAGCGUUGUCCGGAUUUACUGGGCGUAAAGCGAACGCAGGCGGACUGUUAAGUAAGAAGUGAAAGGUUGGAGCUCAACUCUGACACGGCUUCUUAUACUGGCAGUCUUGAGUCUUGGAGAGGAAAGCGGAACGACACGUGUAGCGGUGAAAUGCGUUGAUAUGUGUCGGAACACCGAUGGCGAAAGCAGCUUUCUGGACAAGUACUGACGCUGAGGUUCGAAAGCCAAGGGAGCGAACCGG